rnacentral:rRNA from 1 species
UACGUAGGGGGCAAGCGUUGUCCGGAUUUAUUGGGCGUAAAGAGCGUGUAGGCGGCCAAGCAGGUCCGCUGUGAAAACUCGAGGCUCAACCUCGAGACGUCGGUGGAAACCGUUUGGCUAGAGUCCGGAAGAGGAGAGUGGAAUUCCCGGUGUAGCGGUGAAAUGCGCAGAUAUCGGGAAGAACACCCGUGGCGAAGGCGGCUCUCUGGGCCGAUAUUGACGCUGAGGAGCGAAAGCGUGGGGAGCAAACAGG